UCACGAUUUGUAUCUCUCUUUAUUUGUCUUUAAUUAGUCUGUAUCGUAAUAGUAAAGUGACAAAUUCAUUAAAAAAAAGAAAAAAAAAAGAAAAAAAAGUCUCCCUUAUUCUCGCAACAUUGCCCUCGCACAUUAUCACACCAUAAAUGCACAUGACUUGUUCACCAUUUCUUAAAUAGAGAGAAUAAGUUGUUGUUUCUCAAAAUUUUAAUUUAAUUUAUCAGUUCUUAAUAAUUAGUUAAAUGUUUAUGAAUGUUGUCUAUAACGAGAGUUUAAAUUAACAAUUUAGCGGUACUGCAUGCAAGAAACUUUCAUUUUCGCUCACUGGCACUACGUGCACUAUAAAAUAACUAUAUGACAUUCUAGUACAGGUGGCAAUUUUGCCUAAACAUGCAUGGCAAUGUUGUGCG